rnacentral:lncRNA from 1 species
GUUUUGAAUUGUUUAUUAAGAUACAAGACUAAAUUGUAAUAAUUUGGGCAUGGUGGUGGUGGCAGCCAGUGUAAUUUCCCCUGAUUCCACACACACCCUUGGCUACAUAUGUGUCCCGUUUUAGCAGCAUGAUUGGCAGAACAUGAGCUGUUUAUUUCAGUAGCUUUUACAGAGAGCAUAGCCUUUUUAUAAAGCAAUAGUUUAUACGUAGUCAUCAGUUUGCUCAUGUUUUUGGUAGACUGCCUGACCCUCAGAAUAAACUGCUUUUAACACGGAGGUGACAUUAGCUCAUUGGUCAUGUGGUAUAAUACACACCCUGACAGUUUGCUACCUGUGCCCUAGUGGUCUCAGAAUUUCAGCAUGUCCAAAAUGAACCACUUUCUGCUUUGUCACUAGAAGGAUGUCAUUAUGCUCGUACUAAUGAAAAAAACUAGAUGGCACAUAUGGUAAACAGUACAUGUCCUUAUGCAUGGGGGGUAGCAGUGGCUUAUGUGCUUUCCUGACAUUUGAGACUUAAGGCACAUUUUUGUUUGUUUGUUUGUUUUUUAGGGCUGUACCCGCAGCACAUGGAAGUUUCCAGGCUAGGAGCUGAAUCAGAGCUGCAGCUGCCAGCCUACACCAUAGCCACAGCAACUUGGGAUCCUUAACCCACUGAGCGAGGCCAGGGAUUGAACCCGCAUCCUCAUGGAUACUAGUCAGAUUCGUUUCCACUGCGCCACAAUGGGAACUCCAAGGAUAUCUGUAUGAGAGAACAGUUGUUUCCAAUUUCCUCCCGUGUUACCUUUAAAAUAUUCUUGAGGCAUUCCCAUCUUGGCUCAGUGGUAACAACCAGACUAGUAUCCACGAGGAUGCAGGUUUGAUCCCUGGCCUCGCUCAGUGGGUUAUGGAUCUGGUGUUGCUGGGAGCUGUUGCAGGUUGCAGAUGUGGCUGGGGUCCCCACGUUGAUGUGGCUGUGGUGUAGGCCAGUGGCUAUAGCUCCAAUUUAACCCCUAGCCUAGGAACUUCCAUGUGCCAUGGGUGCAGCCCCCCCCAAAAAAAUUUUUAAUGCUUUUUUCCUAAUAAUUAAAAAAAUAUAUACUCUAGAGAAAAAUUAGAAGAUAAAAAAGUUGAAAAUAUAUAAAUAAAAAAGAAUUUUUUAACUGCCACCAUUUGUAUUUGUUUUAUGUCAAUUUACAUUUUGUUGAUUUGUCUGAAUGAGAAUGUAUUUACAUUAUUGAGAUUACACUGCAUACAGAAUUUCUACUUUUUUCUUUAAAAUAUGGUACUCUAAGUUCUGUAGCAUUAGUCUUUUUUUUUNUUUUUUUUUUUUGUCUUUUUGCCUUUUCUUCUAGGGCCACUCCCGGGGCAUAUGGAGGUUCCCAGGCUAGGGGUCCAGUCAGCUGCAGCCGCCGGCCCAUGCCGGAGCCACAGCAACGCAGGAUCCGAGCCACCACAGCUCAUGGCAACGCCAGAUCCUUAACCCACUGAGCAAGGGCAGGGAUUGAACCCGCAACCUCAUGGUUCCUAGUCGGA